UGGUGUGUGCCUGUAGUGCCAGCUACUCAGGAGGCUGAGGCGCUUGGAUCGCUUGGACCCAAGAGUUACUUUGAGGAAUGUUGAUGCCACUGCACUCUAGGGCCAGCGACAGAGUGAAAAUUUGGCUCAAAACAAAAACAAGCAAACAAGCAAAAAAGAUAUCAACUCAUGAGUGCUUACAGACAUAAAUGUGAGACCUGAAACUUUAUACUUUACACCCAAACAAUGCCUGUGGAAAUCUUCUCUGGACAUUCGUCUCAGGAAAGAAUUCAUGACUACGAGCUCAAAAGGACAGGCAACAAAAGAAAAACAAAUCGACACAGGGGCCUAAGUCAACUCAAAAUCUUCUGCACAGCAAAACAGUAACAGACAACUGGCGGAAUGUAAGAAAGUACUACAAUCUAUGCAUCGGAAGGGAGAGUAUCAUCGAGAAUAUGUGAGGAAGUCAAGCAACUAACCAGAAAAAGCACAAAUAAUCCCAUUAAAAUCUGGGCAAAGGACACACACAGACAUCCGUGCAAAGAAGACUUGCAAAUGGCCAGCGAGCAAAUGAGAAAAUCCUGAACAUCACUAAUCCUCGGAGAAAUGCAGAUUCAAAGCACAACCAGAAAUGAUCUACCAGACAGAAUGGCUACUACUAUUACAGGGAUGAAAAUUCACAGAUGUUGGUGAGGAUAUGGAGAAAAGGAAUGCCUACACGCUGUUGGUGGCAACACUAUUCACAAUGGCAAAGAUAUGGAAUCAAUCGAAAUAUCUGUCGGUGGAUGAUUGGAGAAAAGAGGUGGCAUAUAUACACAGUGCAAUACUCUUCGGCCACAGGAAAAGAAUGGUGUCAUGUCUUUGGCAGCAACGUGGAUGGAUCUGGAGUCCGCGGUCGGAAGUGAAACAACCCAGAGACUGAAAAGCAACACCACACGUUCUCUCUCUCUCUUAUGAGUGGGAGCUAAAUAAUGUGUAGGUAUGGACUUCGAGUGUGGAAUGACAGACACUGGAGACUUGGAAGGCUGGGGAGUGUGGGAGGGUGAAAGAGGAGAAAUCACUUAAUGGCUACAACGUAUGUUAUUCAAGUAAUGGGUGCACCAAAAGCCUUGACUUCACCGAUACCCGAUAUGCCCACAAAUUAUACCUGUACUCCAUGAAUCAGCAGGAAGCAAGCACUGCGUGCAUCCCAUAUACUUUUCCCAAAGAAGAUGUUUCAGAAACCAACAGAUGUGAUUGUGGUUUAAGGACUCAUAAGAGAUCGAGUGUGGUUAAAGGACCGUGUGCUGGUGGAUGAUGGUGAUUUUCCUGGCAUGAUAUCAGCCACUGUCUGGAGAAUGUGUCCUACGCUCUUGGAUUUCCUCCUUUUUGGCCCAUUGCGGCUGCUGUCCUGAGAAGACUGGCUUGUAUGUGAGCAAAUAAACAGAAUGAUCACAAAAG